UACGUAGGGCGCAAGCGUUAUCCGGAUUUAUUGGGUUUAAAGGGUGCGUAGGCGGCCUGUUAAGUCAGGGGUGAAAGACGGUAGCUCAACUAUCGCAGUGCCCUUGAUACUGAUGGGCUUGAAUAUACUAGAGGUAGGCGGAAUGUGACAAGUAGCGGUGAAAUGCAUAGAUAUGUCACAGAACACCAAUUGCGAAGGCAGCUUACUAUGGUAUGAUUGACGCUGAGGCACGAAAGCGUGGGGAUCAAACAGG
rnacentral:rRNA from 1 species